UUGUUGCCGUUGACGCGCGUANNUCUCAGUGAACAGAGCCCAGUCCCAUGGAGGGUGCUAGGCCCGUUUUGCGUGUGACGAGUGCUACAAUGAACGCUUCCAGAGAGUCGGGUUGUUUGAGAACGCAACCUAAAGCCGGUGGUAUACUCCAUCGAAAGCUAAAUACGGCCACGAGUCCGAUAGCGAACAAGUACCGUGAGGGAAAAUUGAAAAGCACUUUGAAGAGAGAGCGAAAUAGUGCGUGAAACCGCUCAGAGGCAAGCUGAUGGGCCCUCGAAGAUGUGGCAAAGAAUUCAGCCAAUUAUUUGCAGUGCACAACUGAACUAUUUAUUGACUGUAGCUAUUUUGCUAUCCAGCAAUUGGUUUGGUUGGUUGAGUGCUGAUAAUCGGUGCACUUUUCUUUGUCCGUACGUCACCACUAUUGCUGUGUUUUGAUGUGCCCGCAGAAAGUGUGUGAUCACCUGUUGACUUGCUUUCGAGCAUAGUUUUCGGGCUGUUUGCCGCUUUUAAUUGCGCGAGUGCAAUUGCGACAUCCGGUAAUAGACCAGACAUUUUUACUACUGAUAUGUUUUAGUGCCAGUUAUUGAUAGCUUAUUGGUAGGCCAUGUUUAGCGAAUCAAAAAAGGUUCGAUUUGCAAGGUAUUACUACUAUAACUCUGUCAAUACUUUGGCGUGNNNNNNNNNNNNNNNNNNNGGCGAGUAGACGGUCACCCAUCCAUCCCGUCUUGAAACACGGACCAAGGAGUUUAACAUGUGCGCAGGUCGUUGGGUGUUUAGAAUACCCGAAGGCUUAGUGAAAGCAAACGGNAUAGCUCGGCUGUGUCACAGUGGCAAGAUCUNGUUGUUUUUGUUGAGCAAGCGCAUUGCCAGCCCGCACUAUGGUUACGUACCUUGGGCGGAGUUNNAGCNNACACGUUGAGACCCGAAAGAUGGUGAACUAUGCCUGUGCAGGAUGAAGUCAGGGGAAACUCUGAUGGAAGUCCGUAGCGAUUCUGACGUGCAAAUCGAUCGUCUGACAUGGGUAUAGGGGCGAAAGACUAAUCGAACCAUCUAAUAGCUGGUUCCCUCCGAAGUUUCCCUCAGGAUAGCUGGCGCAUGUUUUCGGCAGUCUCUCCCGGUAAAGCGAAUGAUUAGAAGUCUUGGGACCGAAACGGUCUCAACUUAUUCUCAAACUUUAAAUGGGUGAGAAGUCUGGCUUGCUUAAUUGAAGUCCGGACCGUUGUUGUUGUUGUUUUUUGACGACGACAACAACGAUAUUGGAUGCCUAUGUGCCAAGU
rnacentral:rRNA from 1 species